rnacentral:rRNA from 1 species
UACGGAGGGUGCAAGCGUUAUCCGGAUUCACUGGGUUUAAAGGGUGCGUAGGUGGGUUGGUAAGUCCGUGGUGAAAUCCCCGAGCUUAACUCGGGAACUGCCGUGGAUACUAUCAAUCUUGAAUACUGUGGAGGUAAGCGGAAUAUGUCAUGUAGCGGUGAAAUGCUUAGAUAUGACAUAGAACACCGAUAGCGAAGGCAGCUUGCUACACAGUCAUUGACACUGAGGCACGAAAGCGUGGGGAGCAAACAGG